AAAGAAGAUAAAAUGUCUGCACUGCUCAGCAGUGAGGAAAGUCCGAACACCACAGGGUAAGAUACUUCCUAACGGGAAGUCCUGGUGACAGGGAGAUAGCUCCACAGAAAAGAAACCGCCAACUUUUUUACAAAGCUGGGAAGGGUGAAAAGGUAGUGUAAGAGACUACCGGAUUUCGGUGUGAACCGAAAUGCCAGGAAAGCCUUAUCUGGUGCAAUGCCAAAUAGGGGAGCUUUAGACUGACCCGGUCGUAGCUCCCGGGUAGGCAGCUGAAAUCGGUCUGGAAAAGAGCUCUGUAGAGCAUAGCAAUAUCCGAUUCAGAUAAAUGGACAUUGAACUGUUUGUUAGGCAGUUUACAGAAUUCGGCUUAAUAUCUUCUUUGAUU
rnacentral:RNase_P_RNA from 1 species